rnacentral:lncRNA from 1 species
CCUCUCUCAAAAUCCAAGUAAACAACCUGAGAAAAAUAGCAUUCAUUUGGCAAUAAAUAUUUAAUUAAAAUGUACUUGGUUGACAGAUCCAAAUAAAGUUAAACACUGAGAAAGAAAAAUUCCAAUUUGUCGGGGCCCUUCACCACCCAAACUUACUUAUCUUGCCCCAGAAGCCCUGUUGUUAGUGUUCUUGCUCCGUAUCAUGAGCUCCAUGCAGCAUUUUGAGUGAUUAAAGCCCAGGUCUUCUCAGACCACUCACUGUCUUUAGAUUCAAGCUAACAUUUGGUUGUUGGACUCUUCUGCCAUAUCAGCGGCGGGUACUCGUACCCGGGGCGACCUUGUCUGCGCCCGGUGCAGAUGCUGCCGCGGCGUUCCUGUCCCGGAUGUGGGAGGCCAAGGCACUUAACAUUUCCUGAGUGGUGAGGUGGGCACCGCGCAUAAUCAGCCGAUACCCAUCUCCUGGGGGAGAUGCAAACCGAUGAGUUAGGGACCCUGACUAUGCAGGGCUAUGGCGGCGAUCUGCCCUCGCCCACCCGCGUCCCUACCAGGUUUACCGAACAACACGUCCACGCAGGGCUCAGAGCCGUCGUGCCUCACGUCGGCGAUCACAGAGCAGUUGAGGUUGGUGGCGCGGACUUUCUCGCUGCUCACCGUCUGGAGGAAGGUCCUGCGGCCGGAGGGCAGCGUGAGCGCGUCCGGGGGACCAGGGAGCCGGGACGAGGGUGCGCGCGCACGCGUGGGGAACACGGACGCCUCCCACCUCCCCAGAACCCGUACCUCGUGGACUCCACGUUCUUCUCAAACGGGCAGAACUGAACUCGAACCAGCUUGACCGGCCGUAGUCCGAGCCGAGCCAAAGCCGCCGCCAUGGUUACCUCCACCCCGGAAGGAGUAGCACUGGGGAUCGGUUUAUUGGAACGGACCGCUUCCGGCGGCUCCGCGGUACUUCGCGCGGCUGACCUCCGGGGCCACCCGCGAAUACUUCAGCCAUUAGCAGUGUUCUGUGCCACACAGCAUAAGCAGUGAAUGUGCAAAAUCCCCUUCGCAGGAAAACGUCCUUCAGCCCUCUCCCUCGGGGUCCUGCCUGCGAGAUCUAGGUCAGCACCACCCCACAUCCUGGCUCCUUCCUUGGAAAGGAUGUCACUGCGGGGACUGUCCACCCAGCAGAAGGCAAGCCCUGCCCCUGUAGCAACAGCCAAGGCUUAAAUGUCCAGGCCCUACAGCCUAAUGACUAGAAACAGAGACGGGGAAGGGGUAAGACUGCCCUCCACGUGUAGAAAUGUCUGCUUUGUCUGUGUUUCCUCAUGAAUCAGUUUUCGCUUUGCUCCUGGGAUUCGAGAGAAAGCAAGGUUUGCCUGUCUCCUGAGCGCUAGCCCUGUAGACCCCUUCUAGUUUUAGCUCCAAGAUGUCUUCAUUGUUUCCGACAUCCAGAUUUCAGGCUGUAGUUUGCCUAUUACUCUGGAUUGCAGAUCCUAGGAUGAUCUGGGGGUUCAAUUCUGGACUCUAGUUUAUGAACAUGUUUUAUCAAGCACCCAGGUUUAAGCUUCUCUAGCAUACAGUUCCUUGUCUGGGGCAUGAUCUGCAACCCCUGGUCCUAGUCAACUUAGGGUUCAGGACUUGUCCUCAGGCAAGAAAAAAAAGGCAGGUGCCAACGUGGGUGUUGGUGCAGCCUCAGGGCAAGCCAGGCUUGCUGGUUUCCCACCAGGUAAGCCUCAGGACUAGGUCCUGGUCCUCCCCCUCCCCCUCCUCCUCGUCCUCCUCCCCCCAGGGUGCUUAGCAGGUGAGUGUUCUGGGCAGGGGAGACUCCAAGACGAAGAGGGGGUGCCAAGUUUUCCAGGCUGUUGAGGCUGCUGGUGGGCAGUUCAGUGGUCUGGACCUCAUAACAGAGACCUGGGAAGGCAGGAGUGGACGGCAGGUUGGUGGGGAAUGCUGACGCCAAAGCAAUGGUGAGAUUGGGUGUGGGUGUUCGAAAGCACCCCUGGAAGGGCUUAGAAAAGCCUGGGGUUGAGGAGUGGUGAUAACUCACAGCAACGGGGAGGUCUUCUGUGGACUGGAUUCUUGGGCAGGGGUUGCUGCAGGAGACACAGCAGGGCCCCAUCUAGCUGCUGGAAGAUGCUGAGUGAGAGCAGAGUCUGGCGAAGCUCCUGCGACAGGCCCCACUGCUCUUGUUCCAGAACCUCCCUGACCACUCCGAAGUCUUGCUUGAGCUGCAGCGCCCCCUGCAGGCUAGAUGUCCAGCACCAGGAAGAAAGAAAAAUUACCAGGACACAAUCGAAGUCUCCAGUAUCGACCCCUCGGCAUGUGGAGCUUGAAGCCUUGUGUGGCUUGUUUAUGGCAUUCUUGGACAAACAGACCCAGUGAUUCUUUGGGCAGGAGCUGUAUGGGGAGGAAGAAAGUAAGAAGGGCUAGUCUAUUAGACUGGGAAUGGUGUUUCUCUCUCUGAGGUCUCAGUGUGGGCAUCUGUAAAACCCUGAUGCCUCACUGUGGGAGCAUGGGCAUUUUCUAAGGAGGUCUGGACCUAAACCAUGCACAGUACCUAGGAUUAGAGGUUUCCUUAGUAAUCAAAGGCACAUGACAAGUCAGGCGUGUUGGGCAUGCGGCUAGACUCCCAGCAUUUGGAAAGUAGAAUCAGAGUAUUAGAAGCUCAAUGGCCAGGGGAUGGAGAGAUGGCUCAGUGACUGAAUGAAUGCUCCUCUAGAGUCUUGAGUUCAAUUCCUAGAAACCACAUGGUGGGUCAUAACCAUCUGUAAUGAAAUCCGAUGCCCUCUUCUGAUGUGUCUGAAGACUGCUACAGUGUACUUGCAUAUAUAAAUCUUUUUUUAAAAAAUGGGGUGGGAAGAAG